rnacentral:misc_RNA from 1 species
UGAGCCAUGCUUUAGCCAAGGGA